GACAGGCGGGAGGGGUUGGGGCCUGAGGUGAGGCAGGGGAUGCCGUGUUUGUACCUUGGCCGGCGGGGGGGCGGCGUGAGAGCAACCAGGGACAGGAGGAAGAAGCAGCAAGAUUCAGGAGAGGAAUGGAGGCAGAGAGGGCAUCACACAUGCUGAA